UCUUUGUAGAUGUUAAAAGCCAGAGACAUGGGAGAUCAUCAUUCUUUUGAGAUUUUAUAACUCAAACCAACUUUGGAGUUGUCUGAUUUGGAGACUCAUCAUUCUUGGUCUUCCCUCUUAAAGAUCACUGAUUAAGAGCAGGGGGUGACUGGGAUGAAUGCUGGUCA